CUGAACUUUGCAAAUUUGGUCUUUUCUCUUCAAUGAUCUUUUACGAACGAAAUGCUCCGUCAUAAUUUUUCUUGGAAGUUUCUUAGAAUUCAUACUUUUUCACAAUGUUUCCUGUUUAUGUUAGCGGUACGGAAUGUUGUCGCUUCGCCGAGUGAGUCUCUUCACAUAGUUUUGCCCGAGAGCGAGUACCCUCCUGGCAAACAAUGUGCAAAACUCAGCUAUGCUUACUGCAUCAGCAGCUAUUCGCUAUUGGGCGAGAGAAAAAAACGUCAUCCUCAUUGGGCUGACUUGCCAAAGUUUGCUG